GACGAACGCUGGCGGCGUGCUUAACACAUGCAAGUCGAACGGCAAGGCCCUGCUUUUGUGCGGUGCUCGAGUGGCGAACGGGUGAGUAACACGUGAGUAACCUGCCCUUCACUUUGGGAUAACUUCAGGAAACUGGGGCUAAUACCGGAUAGGAUCUCCUGCUGCAUGGUGGGCGUUGGAUAGUUUCGGCGGUUGGGGAUGGACUCGCGGCUUAUCAGCUUGUUGGUGGGGUAGUGGCUUACCAAGGCUUUGACGGGUAGCCGGCCUGAGAGGGUGACCGGCGACAUUGGGACUGAGAUACGGCCCAGACUCGUACGGGAGGCAGCAGUGGGGAAUAUUGCACAAUGGGCGGAAGCCUGAUGCAGCAACGCCGCGUGCGGGAUGACGGCCUGCGGGUUGUAAACCGCAUUCGCCUGAGACGAAGCGUGAGUGACGGUAAUGGGUAAAGAAGCACCGGCUAACUACGUG
rnacentral:rRNA from 1 species